UAUGGUAAUAUCACUUUGAAACACCAGUUCCCAUAUGAUCACCAAAGUUAAGCAACACUGAGCCUGGUCAGUACCUAAAUGGGUGAGUGCUUGGGAAUACCAGGUGCUGUAAG